rnacentral:rRNA from 1 species
UACGUAGGUGGCAAGCGUUGUCCGGAUUUAUUGGGUUUAAAGGGUGCGUAGGCGGCUUUGUAAGUCAGUGGUGAAAUAUGGCAGCUCAACUGUCAAGGUGCCAUUGAUACUGCGGAGCUUGAGUACAGAUGAGGUAGGCGGAAUUGACGGUGUAGCGGUGAAAUGCUUAGAUAUCGUCAAGAACACCUAUAGCGAAGGCAGCUUACUAGGCUGUAACUGACGCUGAGGCACGAAAAGUGUGGGGGAUCAAAACAGG